UACAGAGGUCUCAAGCGUUGUUCGGAUUCAUUGGGCGUAAAGGGUGCGUAGGCGGCGCGGUAAGUCGGAUGUGAAAUCUUGGAGCUUAACUCCGAAACUGCAUUCGAUACUGCCGUGCUUGAGGACUGGAGAGGAGACUGGAAUUUACGGUGUAGCGGUGAAAUGCGUAGAUAUCGUAAGGAAGACCAGUGGCGAAGGCGGGUCUCUGGACAGCUCCUGACGCUGAGGCACGAAGGCCAGGGGAGCAAACGGG
rnacentral:rRNA from 1 species